rnacentral:misc_RNA from 1 species
GAAAUGCGAUAAGUAAUGUGAAUUGCAGAAUUCAGUGAAUCAUCGAAUCUUUGAACGCACAUUGCGCCCGCCAGUAUUCUGGCGGGCAUGCCUGUUCGAGCGUCAUUUCAACCACUCAGGCCCUGGUGCCUGGCGUCGGGGUUUCUUAUAGAUCCCCUAGAAUCAGUGGCGGACCCGCCGCGGCUCCGAGCGUAGCAGUAAAAUAUCUCGCUAUGGAGGUCCGUGGGGGGGUUACCGGCCGUAAAACCUCUUCUUUACUGAAGAACUUCUCAAGGUUGACCUCGGAUCAGGUAGGAAUACCCGCUGAACUUAA